GAAUUGCCCACUCUCCCAUGAGAUAAAAUUACAGUUUCAUGACUCGAAGGCAAUGGUUUCCUGAUUGCUAAUCAGUCACACUGCCCCAGAUAACCUUUUAGGCAGUUAUGUACUGUCAGCAAUCAACGCUAACAUGGUAUAUAACCCAGAUGGUACCAUCUCCUUGACUUCAGCCUUGCAUGAAAACUGUUUGCUUCAGCUUUCCCAGGCAUUGACAAAUACAGUGUUUUAACUCCUGCUCCACCUCUGCCACCAGAGCUAGAUGAAGUUCCCUCCACAUUAUGGGCGUGUUGUGAUAUGGCUUAGGGACAAAGGGCAAGCCUUUUUGGGGGAGGUGUGUGAACACAUGAGGGCUACCCCAUUCAUGUAGAACCAGAGUUAUGAAAAAGAUGAGUAUAUGAGGUGGAGACAAAAAGGAACAAGUGUGGAUACACAAGGUAGAGGCAUGUGAGCCUUCUCCCAUUGCGUCUCUUAUUUGGGGGAGGUGUCACGGCAAGGGUGUAUAAUUUAU